GGGGACCCUGGAGCAGAGAGUGUCGGCGCUAUGACCUGUCACAGCAUGUGGGCUACAGACAGGCUGGCCCCAGGCAGAGGAGCAGAGACAGAAUGUGCAUGAGACUGAACUUGGCAGGAUCUUUCUAGAAGCUGUGCUGAGAGCGGGGAGGACAGGAAGAGGCAUCUGGGGAGAAUCUGGAGCCCUGACUCCUCCAGGUGAGACGCUGCUGAGGGAAAUGAAGUUGAUCCUCGGGCUCCUGCUGACCAUGGCAUGGCCCAUGCUCCAUGCAGACACCACUCUGACUGGCAAACAAAUAUUUCUGAUGUGUCAUGUGUGUGAGCAGAUCAAUAGUUUUGCCUGCAGGAAUCCAGAGAGGUGCAAUGCAGGAGAUGCGUUCUGCAUCACCGUGGGUACCAGGCUGAGCAAUCGCUACUUGCUUAUUUCCAAGCAGUGCCGUUAGGAAGACUCUUUGCCUCUUGUGACAUUGGACUGUAUUUUCCAGAAGCCCAUGCAGUUGAUUGGCCCCUGGAGACUUCCUCUGCCUGGAGAAAUCUGUCUCUGAGAAGACUCUAUGG
rnacentral:lncRNA from 1 species